UACGGAGGGUGCGAGCGUUGUCCGGAAUCACUGGGCGUAAAGGGCGCGUAGGCGGCAUGCCAAGCGUGUGGUGAAAGCCCGGGGCUCAACCCCGGGUCGGCCGUGCGGACUGGCGUGCUCGAGCACUGUAGGGGCGGGUGGAAUUCCGGGUGUAGCGGUGGAAUGCGUAGAGAUCCGGAAGAACACCGGUGGCGAAGGCGUCCCGCUGGGCAGCGAGGCUCGCAAGCGCCUGCUGACGCUGAGGCGCGACAGCGUGGGGAGCAAACAGG
rnacentral:rRNA from 1 species